ensembl:lncRNA
CCACAGUGGGAUGAUGGAGUCAACGCAAGGUACAGAGCACAAAUCUCGGCGCUCCAGCAGAGGCGGACAAACACCUUUCCUGUGCGAAUGGACAUGACAAAAAAAAAAAGCAAAGUGCACGCAGCAAGAUUCAGAGACUGUAUCACAGUACCUGUCCAGGCUCACUGAGAUCCAUGAAGCAAACUCAGGCUUGGAGAACCCCGACGCUCUGGCAGAUGGGCAGGCGGCCGUCACAGCAUGGGAGUCACAUCUCAGAAACAGCUUUAUGAACGGCAUGAAACCAGAAAUUGCUGUUAUAAUCAAACAACAAUGUAUCACCUGGGACACUGGAAGCCCUACACAAGUGGAAAGGUAUGCAAUCCACGCGGAGAAGCUCCUACGAGAGGCAAAGGAAAGAAAGAUGGAGAGGAGAGGAAGACCAAAAGCACGCAGACAUGGAAGACCCGGCCAUCAGGGCUAUGGACCAGGAUUAAAUUGUUACAACUGCGAAAAAGUUGGACAUUUUGCAAGAGACUGUCCAGAGCAGAAGCGAACUGAUGGGCGGAGCUAAGGGAAGGGUGAGGCACCUGGGAACAGAAGAGGUGACAUCAGACACCCAAACUAUCAGUUAGCUCACAAAGAACAGGAAUAUAUGCACACACCCACAUCCAACAUUAGCCAGACUGACAAUUCACAAAUGUCUGAACCAGUCAUGACCCUUAACCUUUUAAAGUAUAAUGCCUCUCCUUUUACACAGUUACCAUGUAUAUCUCUUGUAGUUAAUGGGCAAAGUGUCACAGUUUUGGUAGAAUGAGGAGCAACGUAUUCAGUAAUAAAAAACUGCGAAUUAAAAGAAUCCCAGAAAUUGAGUUCACGGUCACUGCACUCCAUGGAUAGGAAAUUCAGUAUUAGAACCUUUCUCUGAACUGUUAGUUUGUGAAUGUGAAAAUGGGAAAAGAGUAACCCAUCAAUUCCUAACUUCGUCUUCAUGUCCAGUCAAUCUACUGGGCAGGGACUUAAUGUGUGUUUUACACUUAAAUUUGAUGUCCCCACCUCAGGGAGUAACAAUAACUGAUGACUCAUGUUUGGGAACUAAAUUUGUUAAAGAAACAGAGCUCUGUGUUUAUCAAUGGUCCAUGCAUAACAAGCCUAGACCCUGUGCUCAUUUGUUGACGUUGGCACAUGAUAAGAUGAAGGACAACUAUGUUGAUUUUAUGCUGUCCUCUGCCCUUCAUUGCACAGCACAAGUGAAUGAAGGAAGAGACUUUAUUUUUGAGAAAGAAUGGCUUAUGGAUAUCCCAGAAAGUGAAGAGUUGUACUUAUAUUGGUGUGACAAAUUUUGUGCAUGUUCAGUCAAAUUGAGUGACAUGCAGUUGCGUGUAUUUUUUGUCCCAGAAUCAGCGCCCCACGUCUCAUUAGCCAAAAUAAAGAACAAACAGUAGAAAGACGUGGGAUUGUGGGUCAGAUUAUGUGAGAGUGGGAAAAUUAUAGAUUGGGAACAGAAACCCACCUCCAACAUGUGGUACAGCCUGAUGCUGGGAGUUUAUUAAAAAAAUUCUUUCUGGAAAUGUGCAUGGUUCACCUGGAUGUAAUAUGUCAUGACAAGGGAAUGUUUCUGAACCUUAGGACAAGCCCCACACCCCUAGAGAUACACCCACAAUUGAAGAAGGUGCCUCUCAGGCUGUGGGCCCAAGGGAAAAAUGACGUAGGCCUGAUUGGAAAUGCACCACCAGUCGUGAUCACGCCCAAAUCUGACUUUAGGCCUAGACAAUCUCAAUACCCUCUUAAAUCAGAAGGUAUUGAGGGCAUUGGACCAGAUUUCAAUUCAUUAUUGAAGGCAGGGGUCAUUGUUCCCUGUCCUCAUUCGUCAGUGCGCACUCCAAUAUUUCCAGUGUGAGAAGCAAAAAAAAAAAAAAAAAAACCCGAAAAACCCUACAACCUGAUGAAUGGAGAUUUGUACAAGAUUUGCAAGCGGUUAAUGCAGCAGUCAAACAGAGAGCUCCAGAUGUGCCAAAUUCUUACACUACAUUAAACCACGUUCCAGCAAAUAGUGAAUGGUUUUCAGUCGUAGAUUUAGCUAAUGCGUUUUUUUCAGGAUACCUCUUGAUAAAGACAGUGAGUUUUGGUUUGCAUUCAUAUUUGACGGACAUCCUUACACAUUCACUCGCUUGUGUUAAGGGUAUUGUGAGUCACUAACGAUAUACAACCAAAUGCUAAAGGACAGCUGGGCACCUCUAACACUUUCUCCAGGGCACAGAGUGAAACUGACACCAUUAAAUUGUUGCAGCAUCUUGCCAAAGAAGGCCACAAAGCCAGUCUCUCCAAAUUACAGUAUGUACAAGAAGUGAGAUUUCUUGGGUCAUGACAUUUCUGCAAAGGGAAAGAAACUCUCAGCUGACAAAGUAUCUGCAAUCCAGAAGAUUCCCAAGCCCCUGACGAAGAAACCGGUUCUAUCUAUCCUAGAGGGGGACAGAGUUUCCCCGGAGACUAAUGGGAGACUAACGAACUCUGCUCCCCUAGAGUCGACCUAAAGGAUGUUCCAUUGGAAAACCCAGAUUUGAUCCUUUUUGUGGUCGGGUCUGCAUCACGUGACCCAGAGACAGGUAAAAAUCAAGUGGGCUAUGCAGUAGUGACUGCACACGAGAUGGUCUGUCAGGAAAUCUCCCCUCAAACCUUUCAACACAA